rnacentral:rRNA from 1 species
GCUGGCGGCGUGCUUAACACAUGCAAGUCGAACGGUGAAAGCGGAGCUUGCUCCGCUGGAUCAGUGGCGAACGGGUGAGUAACACGUGGGCAACCUGCCCCAGACUUCGGGAUAACUCUUCGAAAGAGGCGCUAAUACCGGAUAUGAACUCUGCAGGCAUCUGCGGAGUUGGAAAGUUUUUCGGUCUGGGAUGGGCCCGCGGCCUAUCAGCUAGUUGGUGAGGUAGUGGCUCACCAAGGCGACGACGGGUAGCCGGCCUGAGAGGGCGACCGGCCACACUGGGACUGAGACACGGCCCAGACUCCUACGGGAGGCAGCAGUGGGGAAUAUUGCGCAAUGGGCGAAAGCCUGACGCAGCAACGCCGCGUGCGGGAUGAAGGCCUUCGGGUUGUAAACCGCUUUCAGCAGGGAAGAAGCGAAAGUGACGGUACCUGCAGAAGAAGCACCGGCUAACUACGUGCCAGCAGCCGCGGUAAUACGUAGGGUGCAAGCGUUGUCCGGAUUUAUUGGGCGUAAAGAGCUCGUAGGCGGUUAGUCGCGUCGGAUGUGAAAACCCAGUGCUUAACACUGGGCCUGCAUUCGAUACGGGCUGACUAGAGUGUUGUAGGGGAGACUGGAACUCCUGGUGUAGCGGUGAAAUGCGCAG